AAAAAGGGCUUCUGUCGUUAAGUGGCACACGUAGGGCAUCUCUAUUGCUCUACGUGCGGAAUCGACAUCAAGAGAUUUCGGAAGCGUAAUUUUUGUUACCUGGGCUGCUAGUGAUCGUUGGUCCUGAAAAAAAAAAAAAAGAUUACAACCUAGAAAACCCUUGUCCUGGAGCGUUG
rnacentral:snRNA from 1 species